rnacentral:rRNA from 1 species
AGCUCCAAUAGCGUAUAUUAAAGUUGUUGCAGUUAAAAAGCUCGUAGUUGGAUCUCGGGUCCAGGCCUGCGGUUCCUUUAACCAGGACACUGCUUGCCCUGACCUACCUGCCGGCUCUCCCUUGGUGCUCUUAACUGAGUGUCUCGGGUGGCCGGAACGUUUACUUUGAAAAAAUUAGAGUGUUCAAAGCAGGCUCGUCGCCUGAAUACUGGUGCAUGGAAUAAUGGAAUAGGACCUCGGUUCUGUUUUGUUGGUUUUCGGAACUGGAGGUAAUGAUUAAGAGGGACGGACGGGGGCAUUCGUAUUACGGUGUUAGAGGUGAAAUUCUUGGAUCGCCGUAAGACGAACUACUGCGAAAGCAUUUGCCAAGAAUGUUUUCAUUAAUCAAGAACGAAAGUAC